CCAGCAGCCGCGGUAAUUCCAGCUCCAAUAGCGUAUAUUAAAGUUGUUGCAGUUAAAAAGCUCGUAGUUGAAUUUGUGGCGUGUGCCACGGUGUCCAUUUGCUUGGUUCUGCUGUGGCCUUGCCAUCUUUGGGUGGAUCCUGUGUGGCAUUAGGUUGUCGUGCAGGGGAUGCCCAUCAUUUACUGUGAAAAAAUUAGAGUGUUCAAAGCAGGCUUAUGCCGUUGAAUAUAUUAGCAUGGAAUAAUAAGAUAGGUCUUUGGUCCUAUUUUGUUGGUUUGCGGGCCGGAGAAAUGAUUAACAGGGACAGUUGGGGGUAUUCGUAUUCCAUUGUCAGAGGUGAAAUUCUUGGAUUUCUGGAAGACG
rnacentral:rRNA from 1 species